UACAGAGGGUGCUAGCGUUGUUCGGAAUCAUUGGGCGUAAAGGGCGUGUAGGCGGUUUGUUAAGUCAUGUGUGAAAUCCCUCGGCUCAACCGGGGAACGACGCAUGAAACUGGCAAGCUAGAGUACCAAAGAGGGGGGUGGAAUUUACGGUGUAGCAGUGAAAUGCGUAGAGAUCGUAAGGAAGACCAGUGGCGAAGGCGAGUUUCUGGACAGUUACUGACGCUGAGGCACGAAGGCCAGGGGAGCAAACGGG
rnacentral:rRNA from 1 species